ACGGAAGGCAGCAGUGAGGAAUAUUGGUCAAUGGGCGGAAGCCUGAACCAGCCAAGUCGCGUGAAGGAUGAAGGUAUUAUGUAUUGUAAACUCCUUUAGUCGCAGGGAAAUAAGGCGGACGAGUCCGCUGAUGCUAGUAUGCGAAGAAUAAGGAUCGGCUAACUCCGUGCCAGCAGCCGCGGUAAUACGGAGGAUCCGAGCGUUAUCCGGAUUUAUUGGGUUUAAAGGGUGCGCAGGCGGCUUUUUAAGUCAGUGGUCAAAUCGUGGGGCUCAACCCCAUCCCGCCAUUGAUACUGGAGAGCUUGAUUGCGGUCGAGGUUGGCGGAAUUCGUCGUGUAGCGGUGAAAUGCAUAGAUAUGACGAAGAACACCGAUUGCGUAGGCAGCUGACCAGGCCGUAAAUGACGCUCAUGCACGAAAGUGCGGGGAUCGAACAGGAUUAGAUACCCUGGUA
rnacentral:rRNA from 1 species